GGAACCUCGGUUUCAGAUAAUUGGUUUUUGCGGCUGUCUGACCAGGCAUUGCCGCGAAGCUACCAUCUGCUGGAUAAUAGCUGAACGCCUCUAAGUUAGAAUCCAUGCCAGAACGGGGCGAUUUUCUCCAGCACGUCGUACGAGGAUACGAAUAG
rnacentral:rRNA from 1 species